UACGUAGGGGCGCAAGCGUGUCCGGAAUUAUUGGGCGUAAAGAGCUCGUAGGCGGCCUGUUACGUCUGCUGUGAAAUCCCGGGGCUUAACCCCGGGCGUGCAGUGGAUACGGGCAGGCUGGAGGCAGGCAGGGGAGAAUGGAAUUCCCGGUGUAGCGGUGAAAUGCGCAGAUAUCGGGGAGGAACACCGGUGGCGAAGGCGGUUCUCUGGGCCUUACCUGACGCUGAGGAGCCGAAAGCGUGGGGAGCGAACAGG
rnacentral:rRNA from 1 species